rnacentral:lncRNA from 1 species
AGCCGAACACCGGCUUUCAAGUCGACGAGCCGAUCUUCUUUGUUGUAAUCAUGUGUCUGGGUAAUUGUCUUGCGGGCCUUUUGGGAGGGCUAGGCCCAUACCCAACAGUAAGUCCCCCCAGUUCGCUGGUGAGUAGCGUAGCCGACUCAGCGAAUUUGAUAGUAGGGUUUGCGAGACAAUUAUCUCAAAUUUGUGAUUUCAAUCGACUCCUCGACUAUCCAAUCGACUCCUCGACUGUGCAGUGGACUUUGUAUGCUCGCGUUCGAGGAUCUGACUGAUUUGAUUUUG